rnacentral:lncRNA from 1 species
GAGUGUCUUGUUCAUUCAAAUGAUGAAGAGGUGUUGAGUGAUGCUUGUGGACUAUGGUACAAAUGACAAUUUUAGCCGUCAUUGAGGAUCAAAAGCCAAACAAUACAAAAGUGACAGGCCGCUACUACUAAAUCUUCAUGGAAUGCACCUGGUUAGUUUGCUUCUUUUCUAGAGAUGGUUAGGUCGGGUAAUGGGUAUUUUUUGUGCUGGUCAAGAUGGGGUGAGUUAGGUUUGGGACGACCUGCAAAUGCUUCCUUUUUCUUUUCUUGAUCUUUCUUUUCAUGAUCAUCGUUGGCAAACCAUCUGGCUGAAUUAGUGACAUGAUCCAUGAUAAUAAGAGCUUUUUAUCAAGAAGAACGAUUCUUUGCCAAAAAUCAUGAAGUUGUUGAUAAAAAUGCAAGUCCUUGCACAGUUUUGCUGUAAAUAAUUGGUUGAUCCAACGGCUAGAAGCAAUCAGUGCAACCGUUUUAUCAGCUUCAGAACUCUACAUGGUGUUGCUUCCUCCUGGAACUUUCAGUUCUGGAUAUAGAGAAGGAAAUGAAGAGAAGUGAGAAUCCCGACUAUAUGGAUGCGGAUGAAGAGGAGGUGUCAGAGAUUAAGGCGGCCCACUUUGAGGAUAUGCUUGCAGAAGUGUGAGUGAUGUUGACAUAAGGAAAUACCAAGCAUUUGCUCAGACGCCAGAGCAGUCUCGAGGAUUUAGGUCGGAAUUUCGGUUUCCUAAAUCAGCAUCUGGGACUGAUGGUGAUGAUGAUUCUGACCCGUUUGCCGCCCAUGCUGGCGAUGCUGAUGAUGAUGACUUGUACAGCUAGAUUUACAUAAAUCAUGUUGCUGAAGUGAAGAUUCAUGAGGAAUUAUACGUUUAUAUCCUAUACCAGUUGCCAAUUUACGGCUGGUUUUUAAACCUACUUUAUUAAUAUGGCUUAUGCUUUUGUUGUUGGGACUUGUAUUCACGUUUCUUGUUAUGAAUUUGGAUUCGGCAUUCUGUUAUAGAGCAUGGAACUGUUGGGCAUUCUGACUUUACGUUUCCAUAUUAUGAGGUUUUUUUUUUCUUU